rnacentral:rRNA from 1 species
GUCUGGAAAGGCGCGCGAUACAGGGUGACAGCCCCGUACACAAAAAUGCACAUGCUGUGAGCUCGAUGAGUAGGGCGGGACACGUGGUAUCCUGUCUGAAUAUGGGGGGACCAUCCUCCAAGGCUAAAUACUCCUGACUGACCGAUAGUGAACCAGUACCGUGAGGGAAAGGCGAAAAGAACCCCGGCGAGGGGAGUGAAAAAGAACCUGAAACCGUGUACGUACAAGCAGUGGGAGCCUCUUAAUGGGGUGACUGCGUACCUUUUGUAUAAUGGGUCAGCGACUUAUAUUCUGUAGCAAGGUUAACCGAAUAGGGGAGCCGAAGGGAAACCGAGUCUUAACUGGGCGUUAAGUUGCAGGGUAUAGACCCGAAACCCGGUGAUCUAGCCAUGGGCAGGUUGAAGGUUGGGUAACACUAACUGGAGGACCGAACCGACUAAUGUUGAAAAAUUAGCGGAUGACUUGUGGCUGGGGGUGAAAGGCCAAUCAAACCGGGAGAUAGCUGGUUCUCCCCGAAAGCUAUUUAGGUAGCGCCUCGUGAAUUCAUCUCCGGGGGUAGAGCACUGUUUCGGCAAGGGGGUCAUCCCGACUUACCAACCCGAUGCAAACUGCGAAUACCGGAGAAUGUUAUCACGGGAGACACACGGCGGGUGCUAACGUCCGUCGUGAAGAGGGAAACAACCCAGACCGCCAGCUAAGGUCCCAAAGUCAUGGUUAAGUGGGAAACGAUGUGGGAAGGCCCAGACAGCCAGGAUGUUGGCUUAGAAGCAGCCAUCAUUUAAAGAAAGCGUAAUAGCUCACUGGUCGAGUCGGCCUGCGCGGAAGAUGUAACGGGGCUAAACCAUGCACCGAAGCUGCGGCAGCGACGCUUAUGCGUUGUUGGGUAGGGGAGCGUUCUGUAAGCCUGUGAAGGUGUGCUGUGAGGCAUGCUGGAGGUAUCAGAAGUGCGAAUGCUGACAUAAGUAACGAUAAAGCGGGUGAAAAGCCCGCUCGCCGGAAGACCAAGGGUUCCUGUCCAACGUUAAUCGGGGCAGGGUGAGUCGACCCCUAAGGCGAGGCCGAAAGGCGUAGUCGAUGGGAAACAGGUUAAUAUUCCUGUACUUGGUGUUACUGCGAAGGGGGGACGGAGAAGGCUAUGUUGGCCGGGCGACGGUUGUCCCGGUUUAAGCGUGUAGGCUGGUUUUCCAGGCAAAUCCGGAAAACCAAGGCUGAGGCGUGAUGACGAGGCACUACGGUGCUGAAGCGACAAAUGCCCUGCUUCCAGGAAAAGCCUCUAAGCAUCAGGUAACAUCAAAUCGUACCCCAAACCGACACAGGUGGUCAGGUAGAGAAUACCAAGGCGCUUGAGAGAACUCGGGUGAAGGAACUAGGCAAAAUGGUGCCGUAACUUCGGGAGAAGGCACGCUGAUAUGUAGGUGAAGCGACUUGCUCGUGGAGCUGAAAUCAGUCGAAGAUACCAGCUGGCUGCAACUGUUUAUUAAAAACACAGCACUGUGCAAACACGAAAGUGGACGUAUACGGUGUGACGCCUGCCCGGUGCCGGAAGGUUAAUUGAUGGGGUUAGCGGCAACGCGAAGCUCUUGAUCGAAGCCCCGGUAAACGGCGGCCGUAACUAUAACGGUCCUAAGGUAGCGAAAUUCCUUGUCGGGUAAGUUCCGACCUGCACGAAUGGCGUAAUGAUGGCCAGGCUGUCUCCACCCGAGACUCAGUGAAAUUGAACUCGCUGUGAAGAUGCAGUGUACCCGCGGCAAGACGGAAAGACCCCGUGAACCUUUACUAUAGCUUGACACUGAACAUUGAGCCUUGAUGUGUAGGAUAGGUGGGAGGCUUUGAAGUGUGGACGCCAGUCUGCAUGGAGCCGACCUUGAAAUACCACCCUUUAAUGUUUGAUGUUCUAACGUUGGCCCCUAAUCGGGGUUGCGGACAGUGUCUGGUGGGUAGUUUGACUGGGGCGGUCUCCUCCUAAAGAGUAACGGAGGAGCACGAAGGUUGGCUAAUCCUGGUCGGACAUCAGGAGGUUAGUGCAAUGGCAUAAGCCAGCUUGACUGCGAGCGUGACGGCGCGAGCAGGUGCGAAAGCAGGUCAUAGUGAUCCGGUGGUUCUGAAUGGAAGGGCCAUCGCUCAACGGAUAAAAGGUACUCCGGGGAUAACAGGCUGAUACCGCCCAAGAGUUCAUAUCGACGGCGGUGUUUGGCACCUCGAUGUCGGCUCAUCACAUCCUGGGGCUGAAGUAGGUCCCAAGGGUAUGGCUGUUCGCCAUUUAAAGUGGUACGCGAGCUGGGUUUAGAACGUCGUGAGACAGUUCGGUCCCUAUCUGCCGUGGGCGCUGGAGAACUGAGGGGGGCUGCUCCUAGUACGAGAGGACCGGAGUGGACGCAUCACUGGUGUUCGGGUUGUCAUGCCAAUGGCACUGCCCGGUAGCUAAAUGCGGAAGAGAUAAGUGCUGAAAGCAUCUAAGCACGAAACUUGCCCCGAGAUGAGUUCUCCCUGAGACUUAGAGUCUCCUGAAGGAACGUUGAAGACGACGACG